UAGGGAAUCUUCGGCAAUGGGGGGAACCCUGACCGAACAACGCCGCGUGAGUGAAGAAGGUUUUCGGAUCGUAAAGCUCUGUUGUUAAGGAAGAACGAGUGUGAGAAUGGAAAGUUCAUACUGUGACGGUACUUAACCAGAAAGGGACGGCUAACUACGUGCCAGCAGCCGCGGUAAUACGUAGGUCCCGAGCGUUGUCCGGAUUUAUUGGGCGUAAAGCGAGCGCAGGCGGUUAGAUAAGUCUGAAGUUAAAGGCAGUGGCUCAACCAUUGUAGGCUUUGGAAACUGUUUAACUUGAGUGCAGAAGGGGAGAGUGGAAUUCCAUGUGUAGCGGUGAAAUGCGUAGAUAUAUGGAGGAACACCGGUGGCGAAAGCGGCUCUCUGGUCUGUAACUGACGCUGAGGCUCGAAAGCGUGGGGAGCGAACAGG
rnacentral:rRNA from 1 species